UACGUAGGGCGCAAGCGUUAUCCGGAAUUAUUGGGCGUAAAGAGCUCGUAGGCGGUCUGUCGCGUCGGUCGUGAAAACUUGGGGCUUAACCCUGAGCUUGCGGUCGAUACGGGCAUGACUGGAGUUCGGUAGGGGAGACUGGAAUUCCUGGUGUAGCGGUGAAAUGCGCAGAUAUCGGGAGGAACACCAGUGGCGAAGGCGGUACUCUGGGCCGGAACUGACGCUGAGGAGCGAAAGCGUGGGUAGCGAACAGG
rnacentral:rRNA from 1 species